rnacentral:rRNA from 1 species
AUUCCAGCUCCAGUAGCGUAUAUUAAUGUUGUUGCAGUUAAAAAGCUCGUAGUUGGAUUUCUAGCCGACGUUAGUGGUCCCCAACGCUCAGCGUAGGGCGUACCGCACGCGUCGUCUAUCCUAUCAGUUUGUCUGGUUUCGGCCGGGCUGACUGGUUCUUUUACUUUGAAAAAAUUAGAGUGUUUAAAGCAGGCUUGCGCAAUGAAUACAUUAGCAUGGAAUAAUAAUAUAGGACUUCGGUCUCUACUUCAUUGGUUCUGGAGUUGAAGUAAUGAUUGAUAGGGAUAGUUGGGGGUGCUAGUAUUGAGUGGCCAGAGGUGAAAUUCUUAGAUUCACUCAAGACUAACUUAUGCGAAAGCAUUCACCAAGGAUGUCUUCAUUG